AAGCACAGCAGGCCUACAACCAUGCCCAUGCCUGGACCAGGGCCAGAGUUGAAAUGACCUUUGGCCUCCUGAAGGCACGCUUUCACUGCCUUCACAAAUUAAGGGUCAGCCCUGUGAGGGCAUGUGACAUUACUGUGGCUUGUGCUGUCCUCCACAAUGUGGCCUGCCUGAGGAAGGAGAGGGCCCCCAGAGUGCCACCAGCCAUGGACUGGGACAAUCCGGCAAUCUUCCCUGAUGACGACAGUGGUCGGCUGCUGUGGUGGGGAAAUCCUUUCACAGCAUUAAUGUUCAGGUGAACAUAACUUUUUGAUAUUGUCCAUUGAUGAACACUGUGCCUUGCCAGUGAUGUGCAUUGAUUGGUUUAAUAUUCCUCAUCUUAUGAUUUCAGAUCGUCUGCAAUGCUGACUGUGUGAUCAGCAAUGUUGUGGCAAUCCAUGACUCCAGAAUCUUUCGGGCCUCUGAAAUCUAUCGGCGCCUAUCACAAGGUGAAUUCUCUGGUGUGUUGCUGGGAGACAGGGGGUAUGGCUGCCAGUCCUUUCUCCUAACACCUUUCACAGACCCCCAGGAAGCACAGCAGGCCUACAACCAUGC